rnacentral:rRNA from 1 species
GAGUUUGAUCAUGGCUCAGAGCGAACGCUGGCGGCAGGCCUAACACAUGCAAGUCGAGCGCCCAGCAAUGGGAGCGGCAGACGGGAUAGUAACACGUGGGAACGUACCCUUCAGUUCGGAACAACCCAGGGAAACUUGGGCUAAUACCGAAUACGUCCGUAAGGAGAAAGAUUUAUCGCUGAAGGAUCGGCCCGCGUCUGAUUAGCUAGUUGGUGAGGUAAUGGCUCACCAAGGCGACGAUCAGUAGCUGGUCUGAGAGGAUGAUCAGCAUCACUGGGACUGAGACACGGCCCAGACUCCUACGGGAGGCAGCAGUGGGGAAUAUUGGACAAUGGGCGCAAGCCUGAUCCAGCCAUGCCGCGUGGAUGAUGAAGGCCCUAGGGUUGUAAAGUCCUUUCGACGGGGAAGAUAAUGACGGUACCCGUAGAAGAAGCCCCGGCUAACUUCGUGCCAGCAGCCGCCGCCGU